GCGGACAUAGCUCAGUUGGGAGAGCGUCAGACUGAAGUGGGUUUUCGACCCUACGAAACUUCAUUCACAUAAUCUGAAGGUCGUGUGUUCAAUCCACACUGGCCGCA
rnacentral:tRNA from 2 species